GGAGGGAUGGGUGAGUGGUUGAAACCGGCGGUCUUGAAAACCGCUUCCCGCGAAAGUGGGACGGGGGUUCGAAUCCCUCUCCCUCCGCCA
rnacentral:tRNA from 1 species